UCAAACUUUUUGUUUUAUAUGACGUUGUCUUCUUGCAGAUCUCGCAUCUUUAUAUUCCUGAUCAGAACAUGCAAAUUCAGAUCGCUCUUCCUGAGUGAAUCUGUCGGGUAGAAAAGAGAAGGACGCUCCCAUAGUGUGCUGUGUUACCUUGGACUGGAAGAACAAGAAACAUGGUUCUCCUGUGUAUCUUCUUGUAUCUGUUUUCUCUUCUGGGUGUUAUGGCAGACAUCCAACUUGUGCAACCCAGUUCAGAGGUGGAGAGUCCUGGAUCAAGUGUAAAAAUGUCAUGUGUAACAUCAGGGUACACAUUCACCAGUUAUGGUAUACACUGGAUACGACAGGCUCCAGGCAAAGGAUUGCAGUGGGUUGGUGCAAUCUCCACCAAUGCUGAAAAAACCUAUUAUAAUCCAUCACUCCAAGGAAAAGUCACAAUAACUAAAGACGUCUCACUCAGCACAUCAUAUCUACAAAUAGACAGCCUGACAUCGGAGGACACCGCCAGAUAUUAUUGUGCUAGAGACACAGUGACACAAAGCAUGGAAACUGUCACACAAUAACUGUCAGGCACAGCAAAUCCUCCAGACACCAGGAAACAACAGAUGUUUAAAAUCAUAGUAUUUUUCCUGAUUCAUAAUGAAAACCUUUACAUAAAAUAAUCCUUUUCACU